rnacentral:rRNA from 1 species
GACGAACGCUGGCGGCGUGCCUAAUACAUGCAAGUAGAACGCUGAAGGAGGAGCUUGCUCUUCCGGAUGAGUUGCGAACGGGUGAGUAACGCGUAGGUAACCUGCCUGGUAGCGGGGGAUAACUAUUGGAAACGAUAGCUAAUACCGCAUAACAGUAGAUGUUGCAUGACAUUUACUUAAAAGGUGCAAUUGCAUCACUACCAGAUGGACCUGCGUUGUAUUAGCUAGUUGGUGGGGUAACGGCUCACCAAGGCGACGAUACAUAGCCGACCUGAGAGGGUGAUCGGCCACACUGGGACUGAGACACGGCCCAGACUCCUACGGGAGGCAGCAGUAGGGAAUCUUCGGCAAUGGACGGAAGUCUGACCGAGCAACGCCGCGUGAGUGAAGAAGGUUUUCGGAUCGUAAAGCUCUGUUGUAAGAGAAGAACGAGUGUGAGAGUGGAAAGUUCACACUGUGACGGUAUCUUACCAGAAAGGGACGGCUAACUACGUG